UUCAAUUUUAUAUGAAUUCUAGAUCCGCCUACCAUUGCCAUCAGUGGUGAAACCAGAAAUUUCAGUUGAAGAAUUAAAUAGUGACCUGCAUACUUUGUAUGAUUUUCAACAUACACCUAAUAAUUUUUCUCUGAAAUAUUAGAAGUUUAGAGCUAAGAGAAGUAGAGUCAGAGGAUUUAUUGCUUAUACAAAAAGUAUCCUAGCACAAUAUAGAAAG
rnacentral:misc_RNA from 1 species